CCUGUCUCAAAAAAAGCAAAAGAAGGGGGCUGGAGAGAUGGCUCAGUGGUUAAGAGCACUGACUGCUCUUCCAGAGGUCCUGAGUUCAAUUCCCAGCAACCACGUGGUGGCUCACAACCAUUCCUAAUGAGAUCUGGUUCCCUCUUCUGGCCUGCAGUCAUACAUACUGUAUACAUAAUAAAUAAAUCUUAAAAAAAAAAAGCAAAAGAAAGACAAGAGUGGAACACAUGGAAGAAAGAGGGCUCAAGUUACAGGUGAGGCUGAAGAGGGAGAGGGAUUCACACUGGCUGGAAAGAAGAGGGACAUCUGAAGUCUAUUCUGUUGCAACGAGAGAGCCAAGGCUAAGUGUCGCUGGCACGUCAUUUCCCUUACGGAGUCACCAGAGGUCAGUGGGUUUCUCAAGGAUGCCUCCCAGAGUCCUUGUAAAUAAUCGAAAGUAUCAUAUGCAGAGAAGGGGAUCUAAGGCUGGAAGAGAAGGGAGAAAGUUUGAAAACAUUUAGGGGAGAACAAGAGACAACUGACCAAGAAGCGAAAGGCUUUUGGGGUAGCAAACCUUUGAGUUAUUUGCGGCACCAAUCUGAGCCAUUUUCUGUUUUUCUCUCACUGCCUGGUGUGAUCAAAAUUUAAACACAGAAAAAGCAAACUCUUCGGCGGAUCCAGGAGGAAGGCUGGCCAGGUCAUGCAAUGAUGGAAGAUAUAAGUUGCUGGAAAUAUUGCUAGUGAUGGACUGCUCCACGAUGCUGAGGAGGUUGACAACAAAACAGUAUAAUAAGAUCUGGAACUGAUUUCAUCUCCAUCCUUCCUAGUUUUUCUGGAGAACCCAGGGAGAUGAUCCUAGAAGCCCAGACUCCAGGUUACCACAUCUGUCUCAACAGGACACUAUGUCUGUCAUUCCUCCAUCUGCUGUUCUGCUGAGACAGAAAAAGAGUUCUUGUCCUGACUCCGAAGCCCAGCGAGAGUGAUGGAUGAGCCCAGGCUUCAUGAUGUCCGUGCUUCUCCACCCACCUGCCUCCUCCUUUAUCACACCCCAGAACUCAUUCACAGCACAAUGUACUUUUACAUGUUUUUAUUAAUCCCAAAGAUUCAUGAUUGAUAUAAAAUUUAUUAGAGCAAAUUAAAAUUAUUACACAACUUAAUUUUGACUUUGAGGAGAUUCAUAAAGGGAAUUGUUUUCCUUGACAACUUAAUAAAACAACUCAUUGGUUGUUAAUGCGCCUGCACAGAGGGUGGGAAUGUUUGCACGAGCGGUACUGCUCUCUGGGCCUCAGUUAUGAACCUCUGCACCUUCAGUCACCAUCCCAGGGUGUGAAAGUUAUUGGAAAGUUUUGACUCAAUUUUUAAGGAAUAUGUUUAUCAUUUUAGUUGUACAGAAAACUUUGCAAACUCAGUGUCUAAUUUCCAAAGUUGUUAUAACAAGCUCCGAAACCAGGAAUUAUAUUAAAAUUGAAAUAUGAAUUAUCUCAAUCAAGGAACACUCCUAUUGUGUAUAAUUCUAACAUUUUCAAUCAACUUAUAAUUUGAUCCAUGAGGGGUAUAAUCAUACGAACUUUCGUGAAUGUCUUUAUGAGACACUAAUGCUUAAGGAAAAUUAUACUAAAUCCAUUGUCUUUUUUAACUCUGGGAGUGACAGGAUGUGCAUGUGUUAGAAACCAUCUUGUUCACAAAGACCGCAGGAGGAAAGCAGAAGGCUGCUUGGGGCUCUAUUUGGAUGUCUCAGGCAUGGGCCACCAUGUCAGAACCUUGUGACUUCUUAUUUCAUAAUCAGAGUUCUCCAUGGAAAGAAAUCUUAAAGCACAAAGGCCUCAUAGUCAUCUUUGGAGACAGCAACAAUGUAGGACCUAGGCACAAUCUGGUUUUUCAAGACAAGAGCCCAAAAGUUGAGCCCACUUAGAGCAUCAUUGAGAGGAAAACAUCCUUGGGUGCCACUGGCAUUUUGAAGAGAGCUUUCCAGGAGCUGGCCUGGGUCCAAGGUGCAGGCAGGAGUGGGAUGUGCUUCCAUGUCACCUAAUGGGGGGUGGUAUUUCACUUGGCUGGAGUCCUACCUUACACCUGGCAAAGCACACAUAUUGGAUGCCAUAUUAGUUAAGGGUUUCUUGAGAACACAACCAACAGCACAUGUACACAUACAUUCACACAUAAUAUUUUGGGAACUGGAUCAUAUAACUAUAAAGUCCAAAAGUGCCAUAGUUCACUAGUCAAAAGGGAGAGGGCUGGCAGGUGGCAGAGCUGGCACUGAGGUCAUAAGAACUGGACAGCUGCCUGGCACCUCACCAGCUCAGGAUCGCAGGCCCUGCACCUUGUCUGGGCAGCACAGUAGAGCUGACCCUGUUGGGGGUGUGUGUGAGCCAACCCUGAGAACAUGAGCAUGAGCCCCUCACCAACUGUGGCAGGUGGGAGAGCUAGCCGUGAGGUCAUGAGAAUGAGAAAGCUGGCCCUGCCCCUCACCAGCUCCAGCACUGAGUGGAAUGGCCCCUGUGCCUUGCCUGGGUAACACAGUAGAGCAGACCCUGAUGGUGUAGGUGUGGGUAAGCCAAUCCUGAAGGCGUGAAAGCAGGAGAACCAGCCCAGCACUUUGCUCGUUGCUGCAAGGGGUGAACUAGCCAGGGCCGUGUUGGAGAGCUCACUCUGGUAGUGAAGACAGGAGAACUGGCUGGCUGACCAAACCUGCAACUACCCAGGUCCAGAACCUUGGGUUACGAGUUGGCCCACCACAACAUCCACCUUAUCUAUGAUCUGCAUGUAAAGGGGCUGGUCCUGCAGAUCCAAAGCUGCAGGACCUCCAUGACACAGAGCAACAACAGGCUAUCCAAGAGAAGCCCUAGUGACAGCCCAGUAUCAAUAGUGUAGCAGAAACCAGAGGCCUUGAACCAGACCAAUAACUCAUUGCAACGAACACUUGCAAGGAAAGAUGUAUGGACUAAAGGGUAAACUGUGACUCACUGGGGCAUACUGCAGCUUCCACGAAGAGACUUUUCUGAUUUCCUUUUCUUUUAAGUUUUAUUUUAUCUUAUCUUGUCAGGUUGGUUGCAAGGGCAGAGGGUGGACAUGAAGGGAUGUGGAAAUGAAUGGGAUCGAGAUUCAUGAUGUGAAAUUUACAGAGGAUCAAUAAAAAGUUAAACUAGGGGCUGGAGAGAUAGCUCAGAGGUUAAGAACACUGACUGUUCUUCCAGAGGUCCUGAGUUCAAUUCCCAGCAACCACAUGGUGGCUCACAACCAUCUGUAAUGAGAUCUGGCGCCCUCUUCUGUAUACAUAAUGAAUAAAUAAAUCUUUUUAAAAAAGUUAAAUUAGAAAAAAACAGGGAGUGGGGUGGGCAACUGUUAGUCCUGAGUGUCAAUGCCUAGAAAGCAGGAGCUCUGAUGUUUAAGAGCAGGUAUCCCAGCUCAAGUGGUGCUCCAGAGGAGAGCUGUCCCUCCCCACCUUCUCAUUCUAGCCUGACCCUCAGUUGGUGGGAUGGGGACUGUCUAUACCUGUGAGGGUAGAUCAUUUGUACUCAGUCUACCCAUUCGAAUACUUACAGCUUCCAGAACCAAUGUUUUACUAAGUUUCUGGGUCUAGUAGCACUUCAAAUUAACUGUUAGAGGUUGACCUCAUUCAGCAUAGUGUACUGGUUUGUUUACUUUCCAAAUAAAGACAAUCCAGGCCCACACAAUACUAGUAUCCUGCCCAUGGCCAGAAAUGUACUAACCCCUUCUCUCGCAGAUGCAAAGUCCUGGAAGGAUUUGACUUUUCUGAUGAUCCAUGACUUCAAUACCAUGAUGUUUAAUCAACAAUACGUAAAUUCUGACAUAAAACAACACAUUGUGUAUUACCUCAGAAGAGUGUCAGAAGAGACUCGUUUCCACUCCACUGCCCCUGCUUCUAAGUGGAGGGGACAUCAGUUUUGUUUGUGUUAUUCUGUCGGUGCCGUUGUUGAUGAGGUUAAGAUCACAGAAGAGGCUUUGCUGACCGGGACUGUGACCGAGUGCAGGGACACCUCUGCCCCCAGGAGCUCUGCAUCCCUGAUUCCAGGGUGCAUCCAUGCCAGGCAGGAACACCCUGAAAGGUGAAGAUUCAAGCUUCCAGGGAAGUGUCUGCGGAAACAGUGCCGAGUGACUGCCAUUGGCCCAAAGAGAGCCACAAUUACAGUGUGAAGUACGCUGGCAUGAAGAGAUUGGGGUGAUGACUUAAAUAUCUUUUUAACAUAAAAAAUUCAAGACAAUGGGCAAACAAUUUAAAAGUUUUCAUUGUUCUAUCUCAUGCAAUCAACGGAUGCAGACUCCUAAUGUGACUCCUAUCCCUUCAGGAAAAUCCAAUUACCCAUAUCAACUCCAUUCUGGGCAGUUAUGAUCUAAGGACCUGCCAUGCGUUCAGCACAGAACCGCUACUCUUCCCCCGCUGACUCCAGGUGGCAGAAGGCAUGUCUCCAUAUGCAGCCCUUUCGAGCUCCGUUGGCACCUGGCCUGCACUUCACCUUGGCUCCCAGAGAGCUUGUGGUCAGUCCACACCACAUUUCCCCGACUGAACUGCCAUGGACCGAACUUCCCGUGAGCAUUUGUUAUGCUAAUCAGAGCGUGUUAUUUCAGAGGAGUGUGACUACUUUGCCUCUCUGAACAUGGUUGCCUCAGGGGGGGUUUGAGCAGCCAGCAUCUGGUUGUGCCAUCUGAAUGCAAUAAGGCACUGACACUAAAGCUCUUGCAUUCCUCAAGCUGCCGAGGAACAGGCCUGUAACUUCAUCCACAAUUCUGAAAUUCCCAAACCCCCAAACAAAAAAGUAGUCAAAAACUCACCUGGUGGCAAAAACGGAUCUGAAUCUAUUCAUAGGCUACAUUCCACCUAUUCUGAAUGUCUAGGGAUUUCUUCCUCACAGAAAUGCCUUAUUUAAUUAAAUUUUGUUAGUGUUCACUAAUGUUUUACCAGUAAAUAUUCAGCAUAUUAAUUGCACUAGCCCCCCCCUCAAAAAAAAAAAAAGAAAAAAAGAAAACAAAACAACAAAAAACCCUGAAGUUGAAAUCCAGUCUAAGGGCAGCCGCUAGGGGAUAAGACUAAAAACAAACAGAACUUAAGUUAUCCUUCUGGCCUUGGGACAUGGCAUCUCUGGUGCAGAAAAGGUGAACUUCAACUCUAGCUCUGAAUUAAGACUAUACUUUGACAAUCUAGAUUAUUCCUAAUGUCUUUCCAACAACCUAGAGAUGAAUGCCAUAGAAAUCGCUAAUUGCUAUUUCCACACCCAAGGAAAUGCGAUCACACUGUGGCCACCCCAGGAACUCUGUGGCACUUUUAACAUGCCUAUGUAAAGUAUUUAACAGACUCAUAAGAGCACAGGAAAUUAGGGUUAGUGGGUUACUUAGCUGGUUAAAGCUUCAUGUGACCUGAUGAUGCACGCUGGACUACCUGAGUUACAUCGCUAGGACCUACAGAAGGUGGAAGAAGACACCAUCAAGUUGUCCUCUGACCUCAACAUGCAAUCACGGCACUUGUCCCCACAUGCGCUCUCUCUGUCUCUCUCUGUCUCUGUCUCUGUCACACACACACACACACACACACACACACACACACACACACACACGCAGACACACACCAAAAGCCUAGGAAACUAAAUUGGAAAGCUUUCCACAUAGCUGUCUAAACUUGCUGAAACAAAUGUUAUCCAUUUUAAUACAUCCUCCUCAUAAAAUGAACCAAAAUACUAGCAAAACAUUUAAUUUGAAAACUACAAUCCCUACAAAUUGUGUUUUAAAAGCAUAUUGGAGCCGGGCGGUGGUGGCGCAUGCCUUUAAUCCCAGCACUCGGGAGGCAGAGCCAGGCGGAUCUCUGUGAGUUCGAGGCCAGCCUGGGCUACCAAGUUAGUUCCAGGAAAGGCGCAAAGCUACACAGAGAAACCCUGUCUCGAAAAACCA